AAAAAGGCUGUGUCUGCACUCUUUUGAGGUUUCUUAAGCACCGGCCCUUUAAUACAGGCACUAAACUCCUGAUGUAAUUGUGAUAUAUAGAUCCCCUGCAAUGUCCAGUCUCAGUGAUUUUGAUUGCACAAUCAUACAUUUGCACGUUUUGUUUUGAAAAAGAAAGUGGUUUUACAUAAAGGCUUUAAUUCCUGUAAAUGCUCUCAUUUUAGAAGCAUCUUUCUUUCCACUCUUCUAGACAAUAUUUCAGACAGAGGGAGGUAGGUGGCAGAGGAAGACUGCAGAGAGAGGAAGUGGCUCAAUGCAAGGAGCAGCAAGAAAAUCAGGUUUUCAGCAGAGUACAAACAGCCAGGUUGGGGUGUGUGUCCUGCUCUUCACUGGAGCUUCAGAAGUUGGUUCUCCCUCGUGUUACUUUUGUGCAUUGCCCUGACACAAAUGUCAGUUGCCCCGGAGAAACAGGGUCCAUCAUUUCAGUGUUCUUCAGUUUGCCCUGCUCAGAGACCCUUCCACCAGGAUCCUAAAAGCAACUGCCUUGUGGCAUCCUACUGUACGCUCCUCUUACGUGAGAAAAGCAAGAUGACUCCUACUCCAUGAAUUGCAUGUGUUAAUCUCCUAAAUCAGUAAUGCUGCCUCACAGCUUUUGCAUAGAUGAGAGAAAGCUGGCACAAGGGUAAAAUGAAUUUUCCAAAGGGUAUUCAGGGUAUCCUGACUCUGCAUGCUUUUAUCCAACUAACUUUAUGUGCUUUGACCACCACUAUGUUUUCUUCUGCAUCUCAGAGAGCACAUGCUAAAGUAUAGAUUUCAUGAAUUAAUUCAUUCACAUACAUGAAACGCUAAGCAGAAAAAAUUAUCAUCCUCACUGACUUAGUAAAAAGGCAAUUAUCUCUUUAGCAACACAUUUAUUUCUUCAACUCUGUCCUUCUAUACUCACAAUUUGUCCUAAAAUGCAAAUCAGUUACAAGUUUCUUUAUCAACAAAAAGAGUCAGUACUUUUGCUUUUAAGAAAGAAUAAAAAAUAUUUAAAUUAUGCGUGAAAGUAUGCC
rnacentral:lncRNA from 1 species